UACGGGGGGGGCAAGCGUUGUUCGGAAUUACUGGGCGUAAAGGGCUCGUAGGCGGCCAACUAAGUCAGACGUGAAAUCCCUCGGCUUAACCGGGGAACUGCGUCUGAUACUGGAUGGCUUGAGUUUGGGAGAGGGAUGCGGAAUUCCAGGUGUAGCGGUGAAAUGUGUAGAUAUCUGGAGGAACACCGGUGGCGAAGGCGGCAUCCUGGACCAACACUGACGCUGAGUGAGCGAAAGCCAGGGGAGCAAACGGG
rnacentral:rRNA from 1 species